rnacentral:rRNA from 1 species
AGUCUCCUACGGGGGGCAGCAGCAGGGAAUCUUCCACAAUGGGCGAAAGCCUGAUGGAGCAACGCCGCGUGGGUGAAGAAGGUCUUCGGAUCGUAAAACCCUGUUGUUAGAGAAGAAAGUGCGUGAGAGUAACUGUUCACGUUUCGACGGUAUCUAACCAGAAAGCCACGGCUAACUACGUGCCAGCAGCCGCGGUAAUACGUAGGUGGCAAGCGUUAUCCGGAUUUAUUGGGCGUAAAGAGAACGCAGGCGGUCUUUUAAGUCUGAUGUGAAAGCCUUCGGCUUACUCG